rfam:Danio rerio chromosome 4, GRCz11 reference primary assembly.
GCAUUGAUGGUUCAGUGGUAGAAUUCUCGCCUGCCUUGCGGGAGACCCCGGUCCAAUUCCCUGCCAAUGCC